CCGCCGGCGACCGGCGCACGGGUGAGUAACACGUAUGCAACCUGGCCGUGACAGAUGGAUAACCGGGAGAAAUCCCGCCUAAUACAACAUAAUGCCGGGAGGGGACAUCCCCCGCCGGCCAAAGGGGGCGACCCCGGUCACGGAUGGGCAUGCGGCGCAUUAGGUAGUUGGUGGGGCAACGGCCCACCAAGCCGACGAUGCGUAGGGGUUCUGAGAGGAAGGUCCCCCACAUUGGAACUGAGACACGGUCCAAACUCCUACGGGAGGCAGCAG
rnacentral:rRNA from 1 species